rnacentral:lncRNA from 1 species
CUUUUUCUCUUAUUUGCUUGAUUGGUUAUCAAUAACAGAAAAAUAGGAGAAAAACACAUGUAUCAAAAAUCCUGUCAUUUACAAGUAAUCAAUGUCCUUUCACAACUGUGUGGAAUCCAGCAGACCGAUAGCAGCGAUCAUCGUGGUAAUUACUGGCGACAAAGACAAGAAUUGGUGCAGGCACUUACAUAUGACCCCAUGUUUGUAUCAUUUUACUUGUUAUAUAUAUAUGAUAUAAAACAAAAAACAUCAAAUAAACACAUUUUGCAUGUAUCAAUGUAUAACAAGUUUUAAUAUAAUUUAUUGUUGAAAUGGACAAAAUGUUGAAUUAUGUAUUACUUUUGCACAGGGUGAUUUAAUAUCAAUUAUAGUUACAGGUUUUAUGUCAAUGGAACGGAACGA